UACGGAGGGGGCUAGCGUUGUUCGGAAUUACUGGGCGUAAAGCGCACGUAGGCGGCUUUGCAAGUUAGAGGUGAAAGCCCGGGGCUCAACUCCGGAAUUGCCUUUAAAACUGCAUCGCUAGAAUUGUGGAGAGGUAAGUGGAAUUCCGAGUGUAGAGGUGAAAUUCGUAGAUAUUCGGAAGAACACCAGUGGCGAAGGCGACUACCUGGCCUGUUCUUGACGCUGAGGCGCGAAAGCUAGGGGAGCAAACGGG
rnacentral:rRNA from 1 species